CCCUUAGAUGUUCUGGGCUGCACACGCGCUACACUGAAGGGAUCAGCGUGUUCUUUUCCUGGUCCGAAAGGAUCGGGUAACCCGCUGAACCCCCUUCGUGGUAGGGAUCGGAGCUUGCAAUUAUUCUCCGUGAACCAGGAAUUCCCAGUAAGCGCAAGUCAUAAGCUUGCGUUGAUUACGUCCCUGCCCUUUGUACACACCGCCCGUCGCUACUACCGAUUGGACGUUUUAGUGAGGAUUUUGGACUGAGCCAAUGGUGGUUCACACCACUGUUGUGCAUGGAAAGAUCUCCAAACAUGAGCGUUUAGAGGAAGUAAAAGUCGUAACA
rnacentral:rRNA from 1 species